GGACCCGUAGCUCAAUUGGAUAGAGCACCUCACUACGGAUGAGGAGGUUUGGGGUUCGACUCCCUACGGGUUCA
rnacentral:tRNA from 1 species